UACGUAGGGUGCGAGCGUUAAUCGGAAUUACUGGGCGUAAAGCGUGCGCAGGCGGUUGUGCAAGACCGAUGUGAAAUCCCCGGGCUUAACCUGGGAAUGGCAUUGGUGACUGUACGGCUAGAGUGUGUCAGAGGGGGGUAGAAUUCCACGUGUAGCAGUGAAAUGCGUAGAGAUGUGGAGGAAUACCGAUGGCGAAGGCAGCCCCCUGGGAUGACACUGACGCUCAUGCACGAAAGCGUGGGGAGCAAACAGG
rnacentral:rRNA from 1 species